AGCGGAGGAAAAGAAACCAACAGGGAUUGCCCUAGUAACGGCGAGUGAAGCGGCAACAGCUCAAAUUUGAAAUCUGGCGCAAGCCCGAGUUGUAAUUUGUAGAGGAUGCUUCUAGGUAGCGACCGGUCUAAGUUCCUUGGAACAGGACGUCAUAGAGGGUGAGAAUCCCGUAUGUGACCGGCCCGCACCUUCUACGUAGCUCCUUCGACGAGUCGAGUUGUUUGGGAAUGCAGCUCUAAAUGGGAGGUAAAUUUCUUCUAAAGCUAAAUACCGGCCAGAGACCGAUAGCGCACAAGUAGAGUGAUCGAAAGAUGAAAAGCACUUUGGAAAGAGAGUUAAAAAGCACGUGAAAUUGUUGAAAGGGAAGCGCUCACAACCAGACUUCUGGGCGGUGUUCCGCCGGUCUUCUGACCGGUCUACUCACCGUCCCGAGGCCAACAUCAUCUGGGACCGCUGGAUAAGACCUCAGGAAUGUAGCUCCCCCUCGGGGGAGUGUUAUAGCCUGUGGUGAUGCAGCGCGUCUCGGGUGAGGUCCGCGCUUCGGCAAGGAUGUUGGCGUAAUGGUUGUCAGCGGCCCGUCUUGAAACACGGACCAAGGAGUCUAACAUCUAUGCGAGUGUUCGGGUGUCAAACCCCUACGCGUAAUGAAAGUGAACGGAGGUGGGAAGCGUAAGCUGCACCAUCGACCGAUCCUGAUGUCCUCGGAUGGAUUUGAGUAAGAGCAUAGCUGUUGGGACCCGAAAGAUGGUGAACUAUGCCUGAAUAGGGUGAAGCCAGAGGAAACUCUGGUGGAGGCUCGCAGCGGUUCUGACGUGCAAAUCGAUCGUCAAAUUUGGGUAUAGGGGCGAAAGACUA
rnacentral:rRNA from 1 species